AAAAGUCCGUAACAAGGUCUCCGUUGGUGAACCAGCGGAGGGAUCAUUAUCGAGCGAAAAACUCCCAAACCCUUUGUGAACCUUACCAAAACGUUGCUUCGGCGGCACGCUCCGGAGGGGGACCCCGCGUCCCCCCCGGGCCCAAGCUGCCGCCGAGGGCACCCAAACUCUUGUUUCCACAGCGAGUAUUUCUUCUGAGUGGCACAAGCAAAAAAUGAAUCAAAACUUUCAACAACGGAUCUCUUGGUUCUGGCAUCGAUGAAGAACGCAGCGAAAUGCGAUAAGUAAUGUGAAUUGCAGAAUUCAGUGAAUCAUCGAAUCUUUGAACGCACAUUGCGCCCGCCAGCAUUCUGGCGGGCAUGCCUGUCCGAGCGUCAUUUCAACCCUCAGGCCCCCCUUUCCGGGUGCCUGGCGUUGGGGAUCGGCCCUGCAGCCCAGGGCCGGCCCCGAAAUACAGUGGCGGUCACGCCGCGGCUUCCUCUGCGUAGUAGUAACAUCCUCGCAUAGGGACGCGGCGCGGCCACGCCGUAAAGCGGGCGCGAGCCCAGCACACUUCUCAAGGUUGACCUCGGAUCAGGUAGGAAUACCCGCUGAACUUAAGCAUAUCAAUAA
rnacentral:rRNA from 1 species